UGCUGAUGAGUCUGAGGUCCUGCCAGCACCAGGUGACAGUGAUUAUGGCUCCUGCAGAGCUUGUGGCUGGAGAGCCUCCAGGCCACUGUCCCAGGGGACCAUCUGAUGGCCUCAACUCUCCCAGAGUCUCUGGUAGCCUUUCUUCUGAGCAGUCAGGAUGGACGGGCCCAUAGCUGCCCAGUGCACCAGCGAAGUCUAAGCAGUUUAAAAAGUUUUCAAUGAAGAAAGGGAGAUGGCAUUUUCAUGUAAUUCCAGCCUAAGCAAACCACAGAGACAAUGGAGAGGAAUGGAAAAUUGUGAUACAUUCAUCUGUGACUGUG